rnacentral:rRNA from 1 species
AGAGUUUGAUCCUGGCUCAGGAUGAACGCUGGCGGCGUGCUUAACACAUGCAAGUCGAACGAACCUUCGGGUUAGUGGCGGACGGGUGAGUAACGCGUGAGAAUCUGCCCUCAGGAGGGGGAUAACGGCUGGAAACGGCCGCUAAUACCCCAUAUGCCGAGAGGUGAAACGAGUUUUCGCCUGAGGAUGAGCUCGCGUCUGAUUAGCUAGUUGGUGAGGUAAUGGCUCACCAAGGCAUCGAUCAGUAGCUGGUCUGAGAGGAUGAUCAGCCACACUGGGACUGAGACACGGCCCAGACUCCUACGGGAGGCGGCAGUGGGGAAUUUUCCGCAAUGGGCGAAGGCCUGACGGAGCAACGCCGCGUGAGGGAUGAAGGCCUCUGGGCUGUAAACCUCUUUUCUCAAGGAAGAAGAUCUGACGGUACUUGAGGAAUAAGCCACGGCUAAUUCCGUGCCAGCAGCCGCGGUAAUACGGGAGUGGCAAGCGUUAUCCGGAAUUAUUGGGCGUAAAGCGUCCGCAGGCGGCCUUUUAAGUCUGUUGUCAAAGCGUGGAGCUUAACUCCAUUUCGGCAAUGGAAACUGGGAGGCUUGAGUGUGGUAGGGGCAGAGGGAAUUCCCGGUGUAGCGGUGAAAUGCGUAGAUAUCGGGAAGAACACCAGUGGCGAAGGCGCUCUGCUGGGCCAUAACUGACGCUCAUGGACGAAAGCCAGGGGAGCGAAAGGGAUUAGAUACCCCUGUAGUCCUGGCCGUAAACGAUGAACACUAGGUGUCGGGGGAAUCGACCCCCUCGGUGUCGUAGCCAACGCGUUAAGUGUUCCGCCUGGGGAGUACGCACGCAAGUGUGAAACUCAAAGGAAUUGACGGGGGCCCGCACAAGCGGUGGAGUAUGUGGUUUAAUUCGAUGCAACGCGAAGAACCUUACCAGGGUUUGACAUCCUGCGAAUCCCUUGGAAACUUGGGAGUGCCUUCGGGAGCGCAGAGACAGGUGGUGCAUGGCUGUCGUCAGCUCGUGUCGUGAGAUGUUGGGUUAAGUCCCGCAACGAGCGCAACCCACGUCUUUAGUUGCCAGCAUUGAGUUGGGCACUCUAGAGAGACCGCCGGUGAUAAGCCGGAGGAAGGUGUGGAUGACGUCAAGUCAUCAUGCCCCUUACAUCCUGGGCUACACACGUACUACAAUGCUACGGACAAAGGGCAGCAAACUCGUGAGAGCUAGCAAAUCCCAUAAACCGUGGCUCAGUUCAGAUCGUAGGCUGCAACUCGCCUACGUGAAGGAGGAAUCGCUAGUAAUCGCAGGUCAGCAUACUGCGGUGAAUACGUUCCCGGGCCUUGUACACACCGCCCGUCACACCAUGGAAGUUGGCCACGCCCGAAGCCGUUACUCCAACCCUUGUGGAGGAGGACGUCGAAGGUGGGGCUGAUGACUGGGGUGAAGUCGUAACAAGGUA